AUGUGUGGAAUAUUUCCUCUUUGUUUUGCACACAGGACAACCGACCAGAGAGGCAGGAAGGACCUGGCAGGAGAGCAGGAGGCAAGAGGAGAGCCUAAGGAACUUCCUUUCACCUGCUCCGAGCUCCAGUCUGCAUCUCACCAGCAGCCACAGGCAACAAGGGCUCGUGCUACCGGUUACUUCCGGCACGUCCAUCUACAGCUGGCUGCACGGAGACUUUCAGUUUCUUUGGACAGAGGUAUUAUCAUCCAUGGGCCAGAGCACCAGCUGCCUGGAGCCCCCUGCUCAGAGGUUUGAGUUCAACCCUGGAUUGGUAGACAGUUGUACCUAUCCUCUGAGCUCCUACAGCCCCAGAUGUGUUGAUAUAGGUCCGUCAAUCCUGUCUGACUCUUUGUGACCCCAUGGACUGUAGCCCGCCAGGCUCCUCUGUCCAUGAAUUUCUCCAGCAAGAAUACUGGAGUGGGUAGCCAUUUCCUCCUCCAGGGGAUCUUCCCUACUCAGGGACAGAACCUGGGGCUGCAGCAUUGCAGGAAGAUUCUUUACCAUCUGAGCCACCGGGGAACCCACAGCCCCAGAAAUCUGAGCUACUUCUGGUCAUAAUUGCCCCUAUUACCUCAAGGAUCAUGUCUGGUUCUUCCAGCCUCUUAGUAUGUGUGUAGCCAAUUCCCCUUAAUAAAUUCCCU
rnacentral:lncRNA from 1 species